UUUAUUGGAGAGUUUGAUCCUGGCUCAGGAUGAACGCUGGCGGCGUGCCUAAUACAUGCAAGUCGAGCGAAUGGAUUAAGAGCUUGCUCUUAUGAAGUUAGCGGCGGACGGGUGAGUAACACGUGGGUAACCUGCCCAUAAGACUGGGAUAACUCCGGGAAACCGGGGCUAAUACCGGAUAAUAUUUUGGACCUCAUGGUUCGAAAUUGAAAGGCGGCUUCGGCUGUCACUUAUGGAUGGACCCGCGUCGCAUUAGCUAGUUGGUGAGGUAACGGCUCACCAAGGCAACGAUGCGUAGCCGACCUGAGAGGGUGAUCGGCCACACUGGGACUGAGACACGGCCCAGACUCCUACGGGAGGCAGCAGUAGGGAAUCUUCCGCAAUGGACGAAAGUCUGACGGAGCAACGCCGCGUGAGUGAUGAAGGCUUUCGGGUCGUAAAACUCUGUUGUUAGGG
rnacentral:rRNA from 1 species